UCCGUGUGCCGGCCCAUCGCUCUUGGUCGGCUGGACGGAUCAGUAAGUCAGUUUUUGGGGCCCGAAAAGGCAGAAAGCUGUCGGAGCCGCCGUUCCAUGCGACCAGCCAGCAUGGCGGCCAGGCCCCGCCCCCAUGAGUUAAAUAUUUUAAUCCUUUUUUAAAUUAACUUAUAACCCCACCAGUCCCCACCCAUUGGUGGUGGGUUGUGGCUACUUAUUUAUUAACCAUGCAGAAAUAAAUUAUGUUUGUGAUGCUGAAAUUGGCCACAGUUAACCUGAUGAUCAUACUGCUAUCAACAAUAUAAAGGGAGACUCAAAGCACCCAUAUGACCUUAAAGAGUUUGAUAAAUAUUCCUGCCUCCUUAGCCAUGACCCUUCAUUCCAGAAAAAGACUCUAUAGCACUGAGUGAGCAUUUAAUUCACAGACAGGAAGUCAAACUACUGUAAUACAUCAGUAAUAUUCUCACUAUAUGUCUCUCUGGGUGUCUUCUCCUUCUAAUUGUAGUUGCUUUGUAGUUCAGAUCACUCGGUGAUGUUGAUUGCUGUGGUGUGUACAUACAUUUGAUAAGGAAGUGAAAGGGCAUGGGUAAGGAGGCAGGUUUAUGGUUGAACAAAAGCAAAAUAACAGUGCAGCGCUUAUUUAACACUGGGAUAAGCGAGAAUACCUGUGUACCUUCAAAUAUCUUUUUAAGUGUUCUAAACUCCAAUUUCAGUACCUUUGAACAAACAGCUAAAAAAUACCAAUGAUAGUGUAUAACUGUGUAAAUAUAUAUAAUAAAGCUUGUGAGAUAAUUUCACACUCACACUUUUAAGAGCUAUAUACAAUUAGCUCUAGUAGAAAACAGCUUUAGGGUCCGUAGAGGCGACCCGUCCCUUCUUUGUGCAGGAAGAGGUCCUAAAUAUGGACUCAAAAGAAAGGUAUAUAUGGAGUAGUACCGUCAAACGUUUAAAUCAUCUCUAAAUAUAAAGACAAAUGGGUACUCACAAGGAUGGAGCCAAUAUCAGGAUCUAUAGGCAGUGCAGUGUCUGGACUAAGGGCCACACUACCUUCUUAGUGAAGCAGGAACGAAGAUGGCAGAAUGUAG